CCUUGAGCCACAGGCGCCGCGAGCCUUUUUUUUUUUUUUUUUUAAGUUGGUUAGUUGGUUGGGGGUGGUUUCUAGGGGGGUUGCAUCACAGUGAUAAUGCAAAUAGUCAGCACUCAGUGCUAAUGCAAAUUGUCAGUGCUCAGAGGUAAUGCAAGUGGUCAGGGCUCAGUGGUAAUGACACUUGUAAGUGCUCCGUGUUAAUGCAAAUUGUUAGCGCUCAGUAUUAAUGCAAAUUGUCGGCAGUCAGUGUUAUCGCAAAUGGUCAACAGUCAGUGUUAAUGUAAAUGGUCAGUGCUCGGUGUUAUCCCAUGGGGGCCCCAAACUGGCGAUCUGUCUAGGGCCCCAUGGGAACUUAAUCCAGCUCCGCAGACAGCUGAGGAGUAGGAAACCCAAUUUAAUUGACAGUAAGUGCAUUUAUAUUCUGAUUGCUAUUCAGUUGUGUAUGAUAUAUGUUGUGUGCUAUGUAAGCCCUGGUUCACACUGUUGUGAUCUCUGAGCAGUGUGAGUUCAACCAUACAUUUGGAAGAAAAAAGGCAUACGUGCCUUCUUUUUUCCUUCAGUGGAAUCUGAUCGCAUGGGUGAGAAGACCCAUGCGAUCAGAUUCCUGUACGAGUUCACAGAUCGCAGUGCGGUUCGCACAGGGUAGUGUGAACUGGAAAGGUGGUAGAGCCGGUGGUACCGGCUCUGUAAUUGUGUCUGUUCCCACACCACACCAGUGUGAGCCUGAGGUAAAAGUGGAGUUCCACCAUAUGGGUACUGGCGAGGCUGAAAUGAUGUGGACUGGGAAAGCUGCAUUGAUGGACACUGAUCAGACUGUAUUGAUGGGCAGUGCAGUCUAUAUAUCUCUGUGUGGGCAAAGUUAUUGCUGGUAUAUUGUUUUUGGAGUGCUGGAUAUAUAUAGUGGUGUUUUAUUAAUAGCAAUUUGGAAUCCCUAGGAAACAAUGAUAUCAAGAAAGAGAAAAAUUGACUCGGAGUGUAGGAUAUUCAAAGAACAGUGGGCUUAUGAUUACUUUUUUGUGCAGUACAAGGAAAGAGCUGUGUGUUUGAUACACCAGGAUAUAGUGUCUGUGUUCAAAGAAGACAAUUUAUGUCAACACUAUCAAACUCAACAUAAAGAUAAAUAUGAUUGUUUGGUUGGAGAAGUGAGAAAAGAUAAAAUAUUAAAAUUGAAAUAUACAUUGACAACUCAGCAAAAUACUUUUGUGAAGCAGAAACAGCUAAAUACUUCAUCACUGUGAGCAAGUUUUCAAGUUGCCAAGCUAAUAGCGUGCACUGGCAGACCAUUCGUGGAGGGAGAAUUUGUUAAAGAAUGCCUUCUUUUUUUUUUUUUUUUUUUUGGUUUUUAGCCUGGGCUAGGUUUGAACCCACCACUUCCAGCAUAUGGGACCGGUGCCCUACUCCUUGAGCCACAGGCGCUGCCCAAGAAUGCCUUCUUUAUGUUGCCAAAGGGAUGUGUCCAGGGAAGGCCGAUUUAUUUAGUACAGUGAGUCUUUUAGGACCCUCAAUUACACAAAGGAUUGAAGAAGUAGGAGACAAUUUGCAUCAGCAUUUGCAAAACUCCGCAAAAAACUUUCCUAUUUUUCCUUGGCACUUGACAAAAGUAAUGAUGUUUGUGAUUCUGCACAACUUCUAAUUUUUAUUCAUGGGACGAAUGACUAUUUCAAAGUCACAGAAGAGCUUGCUGCACUGCAAAGCAUCAAAGGAACAACUACAGGAGAGGAUAUGAUGAAAAGGUUUGCCAAACUGUGAAUAGUUUGGAGCUGGACUGGGCAAAACUAGCCAGUGUGACAACUGAUGGUGCUCCUAGCAUGGUGGGGUCUAAGAAAGGAGUAAUUGCUUGCAUUAACCAAGAGAUGGACAAACAUAACCAUUCUCAUCCAAUAGCCAUACACUGUCUCAUCCACCACCAAGUGCUGUGUAGUAAAUCACUGAAGUGGGACUCUGUUGUGAAAACUGUGGUAUCUUGUGUUAACUUCAUUAGAGGUAAUGCACUAAACCACAGACAAUUUCAGGAAUUUCUGUCUGAGCUAAAUGUUGCCUGUGAUGUUCCAUACCACACAGAAGUCCGUUGGCUGAGUUGACAGAGAGUUUUUAAACAUUUCUAUGACUUACUUCCACAAAUUACAGCUUUUCUGCUUUCAAAAAACAAAGAAGUAUCAGAGCUCAAUGAUGCAGAAUGGAAAUGGCACCUUGCCUUUCUGACAGAUGUAACAGAGCUACAGAGCUACUCAACAGUUUCAAUGUGCAACUUCAAGAAAAGGGGAAGCUCAUCUGUGAUAUGCAAUCACGUGUGAAAACAUUUGAAGUAAAAUUAGGCCUCCUCAUCAAACAAGUGAAGGAGGAAAAUUUCUGCCAUCUCCCCACAACUCAAAAUCUGUUAGCAGAAAAUCCCUUGGUUGCAUUCCCAAAUAAAACAUGUGUGGAUUCACUGGAAAAGUUGCAAAAAGAGUUCCAAUUUAGAUUUAAAGAGCUUCAUCUCCAUGGAACUGGCUGAACUGCAGAAUUGUGACUCUCUGAAAGAUGCAUUCAAGUCAAGCAGCCUUCCUAAUUUCUAUACAUCUCUCCCCUCUGAGACAUAUCCUAAUCUCAGGAACCAUGCACUCAAAAUGGCAACCAUCUUUGGCAGCACUUUUUGUCUGUGAACAGACUUUUUCCAGAAUGAAACAUCUGAAAUCUCCAACCAGAUCUGGACUAACUGAUGCACACUUGCAUCACUUGUUACGACUAGCAGUGACAAGUGUGGAACUGGACAUUGACCAUCUCAUUAGCCAAAAGCAGGCCCAUAGUUCCCAUUGAAAUACUGAAGUCAAAAAAAACCUUUUUCCAUCUCCUGAUGGAAGCUUAAAAAGAAGCCCCUUGCUCUAUUUUGUGAAACCUGCAUACAUUCCACCUAGUGAUUAUGUUCUCCUGAAGACUUAUAGGGAACAUCCUGAUGAACAACUGAAAGGAAAGUGGACUGGCCCCUGGGACAUCCUGCUUGCCACCCACACCACAGUCAAGUUGGCUAGAUUACAUCACUCCAGCAUCAAGCCUUAAUCCCCCGGGAAAACCAGUGAACUCAAGCUGGACCAAUGGACUGCAGAACUAUACAGAGGGGAUGGUUAAGAGCUUCAGUCGUCAGGAUGGGAAGUGUAUUAUUCUCUGGCAUCUUUGUGUAUUAUUGUAUUUAGUGUGCCCCCGUCAGGCUAGGACAAUCAUGACACAGCUGGUAUGGUCGUUUUAAGGCCUACAUAACCUUCAUUUCCUGUCUCCCAUUCUCAUUGUUUUGUAAAUUUAGCUCCCACCCUAAAGAUGCCCAUCUUGAGUAAUUUCAGGAGAAUUCAGGAGAUUAACUUUUGAAUUGGAAUGUUUUAGUCAUGAGUUAUGCCAAUUAUUGUGUUUAAGAUAAAGAUUAACAUGGA